rnacentral:tRNA from 1 species
GGAUGGAUGGCUCAGUGGUUAAGAGCACUGACUCCUCUUUCAGAGGACCUGGGUUCAAUUCCCAGCACCUA